GGCCACUGCCUCGUGCACCGUAAAUGCGGAGCCCGCACGAUCAGUGUCUCUUUUCUUUGUGCCAGAAGUGGAAAAUAACAUAAGAAGGUGAAGAGGCAGGUAGAACCACUUCACAGGUAGCAGGUACACAGAGCUAAAUUGGAACUUCUGCCCUGAGCUGCUAUUAUUAGCAUUAUUAUUAUUAUUUGGGGGAUGAAAUUGUUAUAUAUAUAUAUGCUUUUUAAAAACCAACUUUAUUAAAGAAUCAUUUGCAUGUAGUAAGAUACACCAAGUUUUCUUUUCUUUUCUUUUCUUUUUUUUUUUGUUAGGGCUGCAUCCCAAAAGACCAAUAAAUAAAUAAAUAAAUAAAUAAAUAAAUAAAAAUAAACAAAAUAAAAUAAAAUAAAAAUAGUUAAAUACUAAAUUUUAUGUUAUCUGUAUUUCAGCACAGUUUUAAAAAAACCAAUUGUUUGCCUUUGCUUCUCCCUCCCUGGGUGAAUUGUCGUUCAGCACAACCGGAUGACUUCUUUGAAGCUUGGUUUAUGCGGUUAUAACCUUUUUUUCUCUCGGCCACUCCCAAGGCAUAUGGAAAUUGCUGGGGCAGGAUCAGAUUUGAGCUGCAACUGUGACCUACUCCACAGCUGCAGCAACACUGGAUCCUUAACCCACUGGGCUGGGCUGGGAAUUGAAUCCAUGCCACCCCAGAGACAAUGCCAGGUCUGUGACCUGCUGCACCACAGUGGGUACUCCUGUGCUUUUCUAACUUCAUAGCCAGCCAUAACAACUCUAGGCGCUUUCAGAAGGGGCCCAUCAUUACGGAUUUGUGGACAUUUUAAUUAUUGCCUAAGAGCUCUGUGUUAUAUAGAUAGUCCGCUGCUGACAGAAGAAACUUCCUAGAUAAUCUGCAAAAGGCCUCGUGCUUCUCUUUUCUUCUCAGUGUUGUUUUUGCACAAGGCUCACUUCUGAACAUGUGGGAGAUAAGGGCUUCCUUUAUGUGGCGGCUGGAAGGCUGGAGUGUCCACCGCUUAUGUCUUGGGUUUGUGUGUCCCAUCCCAACAGCUGAUCUCAGCAGCUUCUUUUUCCUUGCAGUGCCAGAUCCGCUUUGGAGGGAGAAAAGAGAUCGCCUCGGAUUCUGACAGCAGGUAAAUAGGUAGCUUCUGACCCCUCUUACCAUCAAGACCAAAAAGGUGACCGGAGAUUGACCAGCUUCUGUAUUCUGCCGAUUCCUUUUGGCUUACCUGUAACCGCUGCUUGUUUCAAGUGUGUCCAGCUUCCAUGAUUCUCCUUCUAGAAGUCUCUCCUGCGGGGAUUACUUGACAUGCCUUUCCUCAUAAAGUUAUUUUCAUGUGAUGUAUCAUGGUGAAAACUCAGACAUGCUCAACCAUUGGGAAGCGGUUAACACAGUGUGAAGCCUCGGUAGAAAGGAACGUGAUCUAGCCGUUAAAUUGGUGUCCGUACAAAAUUUGUUUAAAGUAGAAAACUGUGUAUAUAGUAAUUUAAAGAUAAUAUGUUUAAUAAAAAUACAAAGAGCAGGGUACGCAAUGAAUACAGAUGCAGAGUGGUCCUACCCAUGUGAAACAGCUCUGGCAGAAAACAUACCAAAAUGUGAAUAGAGGCAAUGCUGAGGUUAAGACUGUUGGGAAUCUUUAUACUUUCUGACUUUUUUCCCCAUAUUAUAUGCUGUGAUUGUAUGUCCCUUCUAUAAUUAAAAAAAAAAAAAAAAAAAAAAAAAA
ensembl:lncRNA